GACAGAGGGUGCUAGCGUUGUUCGGAAUGACUGGGCGUAAAGGGCGCGUAGGCGGCUUAUUGAGUCAGGCGUGAAAGCCCCGGGCUUAACCUGGGAACUGCGCUUGAUACUGGUAGGCUUGAGUUCGGGAGAGGAAGGUGGAAUUCCUAGUGUAGAGGUGAAAUUCGUAGAUAUUAGGAGGAACAUCCGAGGCGAAGGCGGCCUUCUGGCCCGCAACUGACGCUGAGGCGCGAAAGCGUGGGGAGCAAACAGG
rnacentral:rRNA from 1 species